rnacentral:tRNA from 1 species
GAGGAAGGAUAGAAAUCAAUAAGUACUGCUAAUACUUAUGUACCAAGGUUAAAAUCCUCGGCUUCCUUA